rnacentral:sRNA from 1 species
GCUGGGCGCAGCAGUGCAUACCUGUAAUCCUAGCACCUCAGGAGGCUGAGGCAGGAGAAUCAUGAGUUCAAAGCAACUUAGUGAGACCCUGUUUCUA